AUACUCUGGUUUCCCUUCAAACCACGUAUAAAUCUUUCGCCUUUUACUAAAGAUUUCCGUGGAGGGGAGCAAUUGAUGAGUCUAAUACAAUAAUUUUUUGUUGUACCCGACGCAAGUUGGGUCA
rfam:Dufourea novaeangliae contig3577, whole genome shotgun sequence.